rnacentral:lncRNA from 1 species
UGGGGAUGUCCUCGCAGGAGGGAAAGUAUGAUACUUGUGUUGCUACUUGCGAUACUGUUGGAAUUGAAGGUCGGUCAGCUAAGAAGCGAGUGUCAGGGGUGGAAAAUCUGGGGCAAAUAAUUAAGGAGAUUCUGGGCUUGCUAAUGUCAGGGGGCUUAUUAGAAACGGGACACGGCAGAGUGGCAGCCUAGGUGGUGGCCUCGUAGAUUUUGAAUUAAUUUGGAAUUGUGGUAACCUGGGUGGUGGCCUCGUAGAUUUUAUUGCUAACACGGGCCGUCGCUCGUCUCUCAACCUAGAUGUUCCUCGACUUCACUACUUGAAAAAGAACUCUGUGGUUGUAGCUGAAGCUGCAAAGGGACGAAAUGAGAAUAUCACUAGAAAACCUGUCUUCUUCUGGGGAAAAAUAAAAUGAAAUGCUUGGACUUCGUUAUAUGUAUUAUCGUCAUAUGUAUCAUGUAAGCGAGUGAACUGACUGGUAUAAAAUAAAACAUUCAGAGCUG